GAACGCUAGCGGGAGGCUUAACACAUGCAAGUCGAGGGGUAGGGAAGCAAUUCCUGAGACCGGCGGACGGGUGCGUAACGCGUAUGCAACUUACCUUAUACAGGGGGAUAGCCCGUGGAAACGCGGAUUAACACCCCAUAUGACAAUGAUUCUGCAUGGGAUUAUUGUUAAAACUGAGGUGGUAUAAGAUAGGCAUGCGUCUGAUUAGCUGGUUGGUAAGGAAACGGCUUAC
rnacentral:rRNA from 1 species